CGCAAGCUUCCUCUCUUCUUCUCUCAUCUAUUUCUUAAACACUGUCAGCCAUUGUUGGAGAGCUUGAGAGCUCCCAUAUCAACUUCACUUAGCUUAAUUGCUCUAUUAGGUUGCUAAAGGAAAGAUUAAUUGAACCUGAUGAACCCUACUCGGUUCCUCUGAAUUGGUGUCGCUCGUGUUUCCCUUGUCAGUGCAACAUUUAUCACACCUGAUGGCUAACUUUCUAUGCUAUAUGUGCUUUCUUUUCGGAUAAUAUGUGUCAACAUUGUUGCUCAUGUAGGUCUUGCUACUAAUUGUUGUUUAUUCUUCAUGGAUAUCAGAUAAGUUGUUGCUGAGCCAGUCCUCAACUGUAGCACGGCGAAGUAAACAGUUGAGAAUUACUCUAAGCCCUGACACAGAGAUGACAUGGGAUGUGUAGCAGUAGAUUGAUAUUACAAAAGGCAUGAAACCAAAAGGCGUGAUACUACAUUACUACAGGAGGCUUGUCAAUGCUUAAUAGUUCUACUACUAUUAUUUUAAAUUUGUAGGUAGUAUUAAUUACUCAUGUAUUGUUCAAAGUUUGUUUGCAAUCAAACAUGUGCUAAUCUAUUUCCUAUAAUAAUUAGGCUCAGGAUUUGCUUUUGCGUUUUGAUAAAUAUUUUCUUAUAACUUGGGGGACCGUAUGCGCUAGCGCACGGAUCAACAACUAGUUAUAAAAAGUUGAUAUUGUGAAAAAAAUAAAAUGAAUCUAACAAGAUCACACAUGACUAUCUUUUAAUUUACGUACUUCCUCCGUUUUUUACUUGCACUAUUUAGGAGCACUAACAUUAAAAAAGGAAGUAA